CUUUAUUCCGAUACUGUGCUGGUAGAACAAUCUGUUCAUAUGUGGUACUUGGUGAGUCCUUGGGUCUCCACGUACGACAAAUUACUCCUUCCUUCCGAACUAUACAUGAUGGAUCCUCCUUCUUCAUCCAUGACUGAAUCUCGCAAUCUUUCUCCUGGUCCAUUAUCAGUUGUUUAGUCUGUCUGAUAUAUCUUCGUCCGAGUUGUAGGUUGAAAUAGCUCCUCCUCAAAUGGAAACUGUACUCCUAGAUCUUCAUCUUCCAGUAUUGUC